rnacentral:rRNA from 1 species
GAUGAACGCUGGCGGCGUGCCUAAUACAUGCAAGUCGAGCGAACGGACGAGAAGCUUGCUUCUCUGAUGUUAGCGGCGGACGGGUGAGUAACACGUGGAUAACCUACCUAUAAGACUGGGAUAACUUCGGGAAACCGGAGCUAAUACCGGAUGAUAUUUUGAACCGCAUGGUUCAAAAGUGAAAGACGUUCUUGCUGUCACUUAUAGAUGGAUCCGCGCUGCAUUAGCUAGUUGGUAAGGUAACGGCUUACCAAGGCAACGAUGCAUAGCCGACCUGAGAGGGUGAUCGGCCACACUGGAACUGAGACACGGUCCAGACUCCUACGGGAGGCAGAAGUAGGGAAUAUUCCGCAAUGGGCGAAAGCCUGACGGAGCAACGACAAGUGAGUGAUGAAGGUCUUCGGAUAGUAAAACUCUGUUAUUAGGGAAGAACAUAUGUGUAAGUAACUGUGCACAUCUUGACGGUACAUAAUCAGAAAGCCACGGCUAACUACGUG